CAGUUGUUCAGGGGCAGAGCUACACUAUGCACAAAAAAAUUAUGAAAUCACUUGUACAUGGAAUAAUUCACCAAGUAUGCAAUGUUAUCUGGAUGGAAUUAAAAGUGAUUGUGAUGCUAACAUUAGAUGAAGAAAAAUGCAUUAAAAUAUAUCAAGGAUUUCAACAGUGCACAAUGUUUCCUCUUCGUUGCAUCAUAUCUCUCAAUGGGCUGCAAAGGGAUUGGCAGAAAAGGUUGUGUUUCGUGGCCGCCAAGGUCCCCAGACUUUACUGCUUUAGAUUUUUGCAUGUGGGGAUAGUUGGAAGGUGAAAAUAAACACAAGAGAUGAGUUGAUCAUUUGGAUUAUAAGUUGUGUUGCCUUCAUAGAAGAAUGCCAAGAUGAAAUCAGAAGAGCUACAAGUGGUGUUGCCAAAAGAAUUUGAGAGUUCAUUCAAGUCAGAGGUGGAGUGUAUGAGAACUUACUUUGAACUUAAUCAUUUGCUUUAGCUUAAGACCUUCUGUGAGUAUGUGUCUGAGUUGCAUUCUAAGAACUGUAUAUCUGUAGCCAAUAAAAAUUAGGCAGAUGUUA